UACGUAGGGACCAAGCGUUGUUCGGAUUUACUGGGCGUAAAGGGCGCGUAGGCGGUGCGGUAAGUCACUUGUGAAAUCUCUGAGCUUAACUCAGAACGGCCAAGUGAUACUGCAGUACUAGAGUGCGGAAGGGGCAAUCGGAAUUCUUGGUGUAGCGGUGAAAUGCGUAGAUAUCAAGAGGAACACCUGAGGUGAAGACGGGUUGCUGGGCUGACACUGACGCUGAUGCGCGAAAGCCAGGGGAGCAAACGGG
rnacentral:rRNA from 1 species